GGCCGCACUGCUGCUCCCUUGUGGUCGUCGCUGUCGUCUUGUGGGAGGCUAGUCCGCUCGCUCGCGCAGCUGUCUGACGGUCGGUCGGUGUGUCGGUCCGCCCGGGGCCUGUCUGCGGGCCUUCUCCGCGCACGCCCUCUCCGGGCAGCUGAGCCCGGCCCGUCCCGGCCCCGCGCGCGUCCCCGGGCGGAGUGUGGGGCAGCUGCGUGGGGCGCGGGGGAUGCGGCGCGAGCGCAGCCUGGGGCUGGGGGCGCCUGCCGAGCCUGCCUGACCCCGACAGGCUGCUGUCCCUGAGCCCCAGGAGCAGCACCCGCUCCUCUGGGCCUGGCCUGGGGCCCGGGAGGCUGCAGAGGUGCCCACGCCUCCAGGGGACGCUGCCGAGGGGCGCCAUGGAGACCCCUGCCGCGAAACCCCAGGAGACAGAUCUCUGCUCAAACUCCGAUUCACAUACCUGGCUGUGUACCUGGCGCUUCCACUUGGAUAUCUAAGACUCUUCACCUUCGAUGUCUAAAGUGACUCCCGCCCUCUCCGCAGACCUCGUUCCUCUGCGCUGUUUCCCAUCUCAACAAGUGAUCAUUCCUUUCUUCCAGCUGCUUAGUCCAAAAAUCUUGGAGUACUUCUUGACUCUCCUGUUUUCUCACAUCCCACAUUUGAUUCAUUCUCAAACCCUGUUGGCUCUCCUUUCACAGUGUAUCCAGGUUCUGAGCCUUCUCAGUUCUCCCCUGCUCGGCACUGUCCCUCCCUGGAUUGUUGGAACAGCCCCUCCGCCGUCUCCCUGCUUCUACUUGUCCCACCGCCGACCUGCUCUCCACACAGUACUGGACCAUCCUGGUACAGGGUGGGCCAGACCACGUCCCCUGCCUGCUGUGAAUCCUCCGUGGACUCCUGUCCCCAGAGUGGAAGCCGAGGUCUCACCAUGCACGGCCUCUGAGGUCCUGUGCCAUCUGAUCCCCAGUUGUGAGUUCCAGCUCCAUCUCCUCUCCCUCCCUCCCCCAACGUCACUGGUCACACUGGCAUCUGCUGUAUCUGGAACUAGGCACGCUCCAGGUGCUAGUCCCUCUGUCGGAGAUGCUUUCUCCCAGAUAUCCACGUGGCUGGCUUCCUCGCUCUUUGUGACCUUCUCAUAAGGAAGCCUUUUCUGGACAUCGUCUCUAAGAUUGUAGCCCUUCCUUGCUUUAUUUUUCUCCUUAUCUCUUCAGUGUCUGUAUUAAUUAUCUAUUCCUGCAUAAUAAAUUACCCUGAAUUUUAGAGACUUAAAGCAACAAUAAACAUUUUUUAUUUCACGGCACUUUCGUGGGUCAGGAAUUUGUGAGCAGCUGCUCUUGUGCUUCUAGCUUGAGUCUCAUGAAGCUGCGGUCAGGCUGUCGGCCAGCACUGCAGACAUCCAAAGGCUCGACUGGGGCUGGGGAAUGUGCUUCCAAGA
rnacentral:lncRNA from 1 species